rnacentral:rRNA from 1 species
CCUACGUGAGUCUGCAGUGAGGAAUAUUGGUCAAUGUGCGAGAGCCUUAACCAGCCAAAUCGCGUGAGGGAAUACUGCCCUAUGGGUUGUAAACCUCUUUUGUCGGGGAGCAAAAGCCGGACGUGUCCGGCUGUGAGAGUACCCGAAGAAAAAGCAUCGGCUAACUCCGUGCCAGCAGCAGCGGUAAUACGGAGGAUGCGAGCGUUAUACGGAUUUAUUGGGUGUAAAGGGUGCGCAGGCGGAUUUUUAAGUCAGCGGGAAAAUCGUGGGGCUCAACCCCAUCCAGCCGUUGAAACUGGGGAUCUAGAGUGUGCGAGAGGUAUGCGGAAUGCGUGGUGUAGCGGUGAAAUGCAUAGAUAUCACGCAGAACCCCGAUUGCGAAGGCAGCAUACCGGUGCACAACUGACGCUCAGGCACGAAAGCGUGGGUAUCGAACAGGAUUAGAUACACGUGUAGUC